rnacentral:rRNA from 1 species
GAUCCUAGCUCAGGAUGAACGCUGGCGGCGUGCUUAACACAUGCAAGUCGAACGAAGCAAUUGCGACAGAAGCCUUCGGGUGGAAGAUGCAAUUGACUGAGUGGCGGACGGGUGAGUAACGCGUGGGUAACCUGCCUUGUACAGGGGGAUAACAGUUAGAAAUGACUGCUAAUACCGCAUAAGCGCACAGUAUCGCAUGGUACAGUGUGGAAAACUCCGGUGGUACAAGAUGGACCCG